rnacentral:rRNA from 1 species
UCGUGGAUUGAUUUGUCUGGUUAAUUCCGAUAACGAACGAGACCUUAACCUACUAGUUAGUUGCGCAAGGAAUUUUCUUGUUGCAACUUCUUAGAGGGACAGCUGGCGUUUAGCCAGAGGAAGUUUGAGGCAAUAACA